ACAAAUUUUUUUGGUAUUGCACCUAGAAGAAAACCAAUUAAUAGCAGCAACUGGUCUAUUGUAGAUGUUAAGAGGAAACGAAAUGCACCGGGCCCGAGCCCUAAAGAACCUGCUAUGAAAAAACAGAAAUCUGAAAUGGACUGUGAUAAAGAAGAGACUACUGAGGAUUGUUUUGGAGAGCUUGUGCCUGAGAGGUUUAUUGUUGAAAUGAGGAGGUCUUUGAAGGAGCUGGAAGACCAAAUGUAUCAAAUGCAUGAAGAUAUGAAAGACUUUGUCCGUGACCAGAUACGUGCUACCCUUGAUCCAAAAGGCAAAAGGCCAGAACAAACCAUACCUUCCCAUGAUUCGCGGGAACCACCUACUUCUAUGGAUAAGGCACCGGUUACUGCGAAGAAGCCAUCGAGAAGGAUGUCUACAAAAGGAAGCACUGGAACGAGAAAGUCUUCAAGGCUGACUCGUGUUUCUCAUGAUGUGGACACUCCUGCACUUUCUGUUGGCUGUAAUUCCAAAGAGGAAGAUUUGGAUGUCCCUGGAAUACAUACCACUGCUUUCGGCGGAAGAAGAAAACCUUCAAAGCCGAAGAAAAAUGUUUCUUUUGCUGUUGACACUAUUGAGGAACCUGAUUCCAAUAAGGAAGAUAUGCAAGGAUUCAUUGAUGAACAGGUAAGUCAUGUACGUACAUUGCUAAAUAUUUUAUAAUCCAUAUGUAUAACUGUACUGUCUGGUUCGAUACAGGAUGGCGCUAAUAAUGAAAGUGAUUUUACUGCAAAUGAUGGAUUGAAUUCUUCUGCCGCUGAAGAAGAGAUAUUAGACACUGGAUUUUUAAUAGUUCCUUAUGCUGGAUCCACACAAUCCCAUCUGGUAUGUCGUCUACUAAUACUCUUAACAAUCUGUUUAAAUGGUGUACGUACAUAUUCGCUUAAGAAGUUAGUUAAACUAUGUUUCAGGAUAGAGGAAAUGUUGUUGUUGGUAAGACUGUCUGCUUAGGUUCAAUGUCUGGGACUGUCUUUGUAACACAGGAAGAGAGGCCUGUGGAAGAAGCUACUGUUGACACCGAGAUGGAAGAAGUUCCAUCUAAUGUGUCUGCAAGAGUUUCAGAGGUAGAUCUUCUCGUAAUCGUUAUAUACAGAUUUCCAUGACUAUAUGCAUAACUAUUACAUUAAUUUCUUCACUUAUCUAACGCUUAACUCUAUGGUAGCCUAUGUUUCAGGAUAAUGGACCAAAGGAUGUUGCUGAACCUGGCUUAGUUGGUACCCAUACAGGGGCCGAUGAAAUAGCUGAUGCUGACAUAGAGAUGGUAGACAAUCCAUCAGGUUUACCUUCAACAUCUGCACAGGUAUGUGUUAGUCACUUGUUCUUUUUUCAUAUGUGUACGCCCAUAAGACUUUGCAAAUUAUUUUUGUUUCAGGAAGAAGCAAGAGAUGCCAGUGCAUCGACUGAAGCUAAUGGCAGCGAGUCAGAAGAAAUUUAUGAGCCUUCUGAUGGAGACACAGCUCACGUACCUGCCACAAGUGUACGUACAUUUUUGUCACUAUGUUCUGUGUACAUAUAUAUUGUUUCAUACAUUACUAAAAAGUUUCUUUCCGAUGCUAAAUUCUACAGGUUGAGGCGGCAGGAGAAUCCAAAUUAGUGACAGUGAUGGAAGUUGAAAUACCUGAGAAGACCCACAGUGAUCCCCCGUCACCAUUUCAAGUAGUUAACAAUGUAAGCUAACUCUUGCAACAAAUAAAAUGUACUAUUUACUGUUCAAAUGUAUAAAAUUUAUAUUAUGCAGGUCAUACGGGAGUUGGAUACCAAAGCCGUUGGUGAUUUAGCUGCAGCCACUAAUUUGGAGGUAACAAUUUGUGUGUUUCAAUUCCUAUUUUCGGAAUAGCAUACAUAGGAUUAUAUGUGUACAUUAUAUAUACUUGUGUACGUUAACCUGCACAGGUAGUCAUGGAAGAGCCGUGUAUUGUCGAGGGGUCUGUAGAAACUGAGGAUCCUAACCCAGGGUCAGAUGAAGCAGACAAGACCGAUAUUCCUAAAAAUAAUGUAUGUACCUAUUUUAAACAUAGAAAAACGUAUGAAACUGUUGUUGACAAUCAUAUUUGUUAACAGGAUGAAUCAGACAAUCCUGCUGCUGUCGAAGCAAAAGAAGAAAAAAAAUCGUCCCCAAAGAAAGUGAAGAAACAACUUGUCUAUGAACAGGAUGAUGCCCAUCCUCAUGGUUUUAAGGCAAAAACAGUAUUGGUGCCCGAUGUACCAGCUCAACAGAUAGAGGUUGUUAUCAGGGCUGGAAAUGUCUCAUACAACCCCCUGGACGUAGUUGACCCUUCAAAAGUAGAGGAAUUCAGCAAUAUCAUUAAAGGACCCUCUGUGUAAGUACAUUAUAGUAAAAUGGAUUAUUUAAUAUCUCAAUCAUCAUUUUUAAGGUUGUUAUCAAAUAUUUUUCUGGAUUUUACAGGAUUCACACUCUUUUCGGGUUUCGAAAAGUGCCCAACGACUUUUUUGCGAACCUUCUAACACCUGGUGAAUGGGUCGAAAGUACGGUACGUUCCAUUUAUAUACGUACAUUCCUUGUUAUAAAUUGUACAUAGAUGAUUAAAUUUUUCGUGGAAGUGUACGUACACUGAUAUAUUUUUUGAACAUUUCAGCAUUUAGAAAUGAUGGCAAUGUUGAUGUGGCACAAGAACGGGGAACAGAUGAUAGCAAACAGAUGUAUUGUAUUGGACAUGAUGCUGACGCAUCUUCUUACCAAGCGGGUGGGCGACUUCAAGAAGUGUAUUAAUAAGAACGGGUUCAAAUGGGGUAAAUUACUGUCCGACAUUGCUAAUGGAGUUCACAUAAACCGUGAACCCAAUAUGAAGUGGAUGAAGGAUGUCGAUGUUGUGUAUGCUCCGAUGAACUGGAAGAGUGAACAUUGGGUUGCUUUGGGAAUCAACCUUAAUGAACGGCUAAUAACUGUGUAUGACGCUUUAAUAUCGCACACGCGGGAGUCGGCUGUGAAGGCGAGAAUGACUCCUAUUUGCGAAAUGAUGUCGUACUUAGUCAGAGCGAUGUGCCAGGAUGUAUUGAUUUCUCCGUACUCAGUUGAACCUUUUGAGUAUGUGCGUUGUCCUACCGUUGCUCAAAACCCAACUACAGGAGAUUGCGGGCCAUACACGAUGAAGUUCCUGGAGUUGCUUGCGUUUGGACACCCUUUUUCGGAUCUGACAACCAUUCGAGAAGCAGAU
rnacentral:sRNA from 1 species